UGCUUUUCUCCUUGCCUGAAAUUGAAAAGAUCUCAAGAGAUUUAUUUACUUUAUGAACUGCUUUGUUAGUGUUAAUAAUUUUUAUAUUCAUGGUUGUUUCUGAAGAACUUUUACUGAUCAUGUAUCAACUAUGCCACUUAAAUCAGUAGCACAGUUCUCCUCUUCCAUAAAUACUGAUAGUAAAACACUCAGAAAACUUAUAAAGGGAAUGUGUUCGUUCAGUCACCACCUAUUGGAAACUGGUUCCUCUGACAUUUUUCUAGUAUUUGCCUCUCAAUCUAGAUGGAUACUCAAAAAAGUUUUAGUGCCCAAUUACCUUAGUGAUCUAAUCUGCUAAAUAUACCACCAAAAACUGUCAGUCUAGAAUUGUAGAGUCAGGUGGAAUCCUUUUUCUUAACGUAUUUGGAUAAUUCAUUAGGAAGUAGAUUUUGUGUCCUUUCCUCAAGCAUAUGUUUGUGUCUUUGAACUUGACUGCAUUACAGUAAUAGAGAAAAGUGACAAAAUAUUUUUAUAUUAUUAAUGAAUUAAAAGUUAACCAUAGGGAUUUUUGUAGUUUAUCUGCUGUUGGCUGACUCAGUCUGUAGGCACAGCAACAAUUUAAGAUAUGUAUGUAUCUUUCUGUAUGUAUGUAUCUUUCUUUUCCUCAAUGCAUGAUCAGCACCAAGAAAGUCCUCUUUAACAUACCUUUCUACACACCUCAACUAAGGAAAGAAUGAAGCAAGUUAACAUGAACAAUAAAGAAGCUUUGAUUACUAUAUCUCAAUCUGAAAAAUUAUGUUGCCAACCCAGUAUCAAAUAAGGUAUUGGAGGCUCUGAGUAGCUCCCAAAUAAGUUACUCAGUACCACAGCAACAAAAAUUUAUUUGGUUAUUAUGAAAGCUAUGUAAGUAUUAACUUUUUAUUGGUUCUUAAAGCAAAAUCUAUGCACGUUUAAAUAUGUCAGUUGCUGUUCUUAAAAGACUAUGAUAAACUGUUUUCCCACUGUUUAGGCAGAUGUCAUUCAUAAAAUGUAGAGCAGUUAGGAAGUUGGACUCAGUUGGUCUGGGAGUAUGAAGAACAAGGAAAUAUUAAGCAAAUGGUAUAACAUUUCCAGAUCUUUUUUUUUCAUCUAUGAAAAUUGGGGAAGAGGGUGCUGACAGCUGACCCACUUGACCUGAGACCUUUGACCUUUAUCUUUAAAAUUCUCUUUCUGAUGACUUGGACACAACUAUUUUCAAUAGAAAAAUGAGAAGUAAGCAAGAUUUCAUUUUCAAAAUAAAUGUUAGUAAAGUUUUUAAGUAGAUUACUGCCCUUACCAGUUUGUGAUAACUUGGAGUGACCUUAGUGGAGUGUAGCUAAGGACGCCACAAUCAUUUUCUGCCUCUUUCACCAAUAAAGACAGCUUCUUUACCCUUAGAAUUGUUCUCCAAGCUCAUGUCAUUUAUGACAGGGGCUUCUACUGAGAGUUUCAAUAGCUAAGAAUAAGACUAUCGUUACUGCUUUUAAAAAAGACCAAAACACAUAAUAACUGCAACCAUUAAAGCACCUACUACGUGCCAUACUAAUUAUAGAUACAGAUAUAGAUAUAAAUAGAUGUAUGAGUUUAUUUAAUCCUCACUGUGUAUAUAUUAGGUCAUUUAACUACAAUUCUGCAAGGUAAAUAGCCAAGGUCCAAUGUCACAUAUGUGGAAAUUAUUUUUGGCUAAGAGAGGUUCUAUAAUUUACCCAAGGUCAUGCAAAUGGUUGUACCAGAUAUAAAUUCCAAAUCAACCUGUGCUUUUCUGCUUCAUAAUGCUUCUUGUCCCAUGACCUUGUCAGGCUGGAUUAUUCAACAACAAAAAUGUACUGAAUAACUAUGCAAAGCUUUAUGAAGGUUGUAAGGGGAAUAUAAGACCUAGACCUUUUGCUCAAGGAACAAAUAAAUAUGGGAUUCACCAAAUCUUAGAGUUGGAGAUUAGAGGUGUUCUCAACAUCUAAUUUACAGCCAUGCAGGUAUGUUUCCCCAUAAUGUGCUUAACUGUUGUUACUACAGUUGCUACCUGGAUACUGCUAGGGACAGAGAAAUUAAAGCUUCAGAAGGUAGUACAUUUUUGAGCUACUCUAAAAGCUAGAAAAGGUGUUUGCUACAGUGCUUCUUCAUAGAGAGGGCUUCUGCAACUUUCUCCCUUUUGGUUCUAGUUUGGAAUUAAUAAGCCUAACCUGGGAAUUAAUAAGCCUGACUUUAGUUCCGCCUUACAGUCAGUUUAACUAGAGCUAUCUUGUUUGCCCUAAUUUUCUUGCCUUUUUUUUUUUUUUUUACAAAGUAUAUUUAUUUCCAUUGCUCCUUAUAUGCUAGGGUGUCUAGAUCCAGCCCAUUCUAAAGGUGCC